GAUACACCCUUGUUUCAUUGCAUAACAUUGGAACGAUGUAGAAAAGAUUAGCAUAGACCCUGCGCAAGGAUGACACACACAAAUCGAGAAUGGUCCAAAUAUUUC